UACGUAGGGGGCAAGCGUUGUCCGGAUUUAUUGGGCGUAAAGAGCGUGUAGGCGGCUAGGUAGGUCCGUUGUGAAAACUCGAGGCUCAACCUCGAGACGCCGGUGGAAACCAUCUAGCUAGAGUCCGGAAGAGGAGAGGGGAAUUCCUGGUGUAGCGGUGAAAUGCGCAGAUAUCAGGAAGAACACCCGUGGCGAAGGCGGCUCUCUGGGACGUGACUGACGCUGAGACGCGAAAGCGUGGGGAGCGAACAGG
rnacentral:rRNA from 1 species